GUGAGACACAACUGCUCCUGGCACACCAAUUAUGUCAGAAAGGAGGAUGGACAUCGAAGAAAUUCGUUAUGGAGUUUGCUUUCAGCAUGGCAAGAUUAGCCAUUUGGUCAAGAAACUGCUCUUGCCUGGACUGUUUGUUGCUGUAUAAACUGGACAUGCCAGACCCACAAGAAAGUGACUGCUGAACUUACAAAACAAGAGAGUACUAAAGGGUUCCUGUUAAAAUGGAGAAGUAUGCCAGACACCCUGUAGCCUAUGGGCUGAAGAUGAUUGCCCAAAGUUACAGAGGAAUUUUGGGUGACUAUCCAGGUUCCACUUCCUUCUGAGAGACAUGACUUCUUCUGGAGGCUGGCACACAGCAGCAGAGUCGUCUCAGACAAUUUCCAAUUCUCUUCUUCACCCUCUUACAAGCUCGGGAUAGAUGGCUGUCAGAGGCUGCAGUUACACCUCAAGGAGGAACAACUUCAAAGCUGUUCUUUGAGGUAGCCAGAAAGGAAGGUCUCUGGAUUUCAGGGAUUUCUUCAGGAGGAACAUCGUUAAAGAUGUUACUGAAUGUUUCCUUCAGUAAAGAUCUUUCCUUCAGUAAAGAUCUUUCCUCGGAAAGAUCUCGGGAUAUCAAUAUGUCUUUAGAUAGGACAUCAUCAAAGCUGUUACAUCUCUAUUUAAGGUAUGCCUUCAAGGAGGACAUUGUCAAAGUUCUUCUGGGAUGCAUGCUGAAGAAAAGAUCUCUGGAUUUCAUCAAUGUCUUCAGGAGGUUCAUCAUGAAAACUGUUAUUGGAUGUUUCCUGAAUGGAUGAUUUCUUGAUUGCAGUUGUUGCUUCAGAAGGGACAUCUUCAAAGCUGUUCUUUGAUGUGGCCUGAUAUGGAUAUGGGUUAUGCCUUCAGGAGGGCCAUCACCAUAGAUGUCCUUGGAUGUUGUCUGAAGAGAACCUCUCUGCAUGUUGUAUGUGGCUGUGGUGUUCACAAUGUGAUGGACCUCCCUGUAGCUCCCAGAAUUCUGAGUGUCUGAGCUAUUUUGGGGGGUGUUCCCUUCCUGGGGUGUCACAGGAGAAAAAGGAUGCAGAAGAAGUGCUCUCAGAGGACAGGGUUCUUGAGGAUGAGCAAUUGCAAAUCAUGCUAUCCAGUGCCAUACAUCUGCUCUUGAGAUAAUUAACCUUAUGAGCAAGUGCUGGCAACACAAGCUGGCAGGCAUGCUCAGGCUUAUCAUCCUCUUUUUCCUUGAUCCCUUUGCAUCAUGCACCAGGUGUUCCUCCAGCAAGAUGGGAAGAGCAAGCUCACUCAGUCCCCUCUGAGUUGGAAAGCUAAUAAGAGCAUCUGCUGGGGACAUAGUAACACGGGCCGGCAAGAAUUUCGCAGCAUACUUAUAGUGGUCACAGGGUGACUUGUGGUUUAAAAUUAGUUAUGUGGCCAUGAUGUUAUUGAAUUUCUUCUCACAUAGACAAGCACUAAUGUCCUUGGGGUGGUAGCCCAUUCUCCCCACAGCCACCACAAUGCUGGGAUUCAGGUUGUUCCAGAGUGCCUCUAAGGAUGGUGUGAUUUUCCCAAAUUCUUCUUGGUCUUGAACCACUGAUGCUGCCUCAUGUCAAAUAUCUUGGGCCUCUGCUCAGUCUUCACAGUGAACAACUGCACAAUGAUGUUUGCUAUGUUUUGGGAAAGAGUGUAAGGGAGGUGGUACUUGGGAUCCAGCAUUUCCUCCUUCAUGUCUGAAUAGGUGUUGGCUUUGCAGGGAAAGGAUGCAGUCACCAUUGUAUAUAAAACCACUCCCAUGCUCCAGAUGUCAACUGUGUUUGCAUUGUAUUCCUUUCCAGAGAACAAAUCUGGAGCACAAUAUUCCAGGGUUCCACAGAAUCCAUUGGUACCCUUGCCAGGUGUGACAUGGGUGGCCAGGCCAAAGUAGCACAACUUGAUGUUGCCUUUGUCAUCAAGCAGGAUAUUAUCUAGCUUGAUGUCUCUGUGUGCAAUGCCAUUAUCAUGGCAGUAGUGAACUGCACACACCAGCUGUGUAAAAAUGUGCUGGGCCUGCUCCUCCUCAGACGGCCCACCCUCCCAAAAUAGCUCACCAGAUCUCCACCAACAGCAUGUUCCAACACCAUAUAGGUCUAUUCUUUGGUGUUGAUGAUAUGGAACAGCUUGAUAAUAUACGGGUGGUCCAACGUUUUAUAAAUGUCGAUUUCGGUUUUUCUGCUGAAGUCAUUUUUGGUUCCAUUUUGUAGGACCUUGACAGCAACUUGCACCUCUGUGUGAAGGUGGUAGGCAAGCUUCACCUCAGUAAAGUUCCCUUUGCCAAGGCUCCUGAGGAUGACAUAGUGAUCUGAAAGUGUAUCCUCUUCAGAGGCCCUGGCCUUCAGGUCCAGCUGUAUUUUCAACUUCUCACUGCUCUUGUUAGUGAAUUGAUUGGUAAUAUCCAUGUCAACACCAACUGAGAAAACCAGAUUGAAAACAAAGAGAAGUAGGUAUUAGACAUGGUAGGAUGGGAGAGAGAGGACAGGAAUAUUGGUUUUUUAAAACACGAUGGUGUUUAAUACAUAAAAAUGUGUUUUCAAAGUUUUCAAUGAUGAAAUAUCAAAAUGAAUAAAAGCAUGGUGGUACAAUAUAUAUUCAUGUAUGUAUAAUAUCUGACUUAAAAAGCAUUGACCCUGCCAUUUCUCCAACUAUUCAAUAAGGGAGAAUUAAAGACACACUUUCUAUUAUCUUCUACAAAGCCUGAAGGAGCCUUCUGCCUGACCUGCAAUUUUCCUCCCAUGAUACCAUAUGUAGAAAAAAAAUACUGACAUCCAAUGCUCAGUUUUCCUCUGACUUGUAGAAAGUUGCGUUGUGCACAGACAGAUAUAUAUCUCUGAGCAAAAUAAAUGAACAGAACAUAUUACCCUACCUCUAAUAUAGAGACUAUAAAUCAACAGUUUAUGCACCAGAACAUGACAAUUCUUAUUGAAAUCACUUGAAACAUUUAGCAAUUUCAACAGAACAUAAACAUGGUCAUGUUCAUACUUAAGAUGAGUUAAUGAAUGAACAACAAAAUAACAGAUCCAAUAUGAAUGUAAGGUUUCAAUCAAUAGAGGCAAAGGCUUUAAUCCCAGCACUCUGGAGGCAUAGUCAGGCAGAUCUCUGUAAAUCUAAACCAGA
ensembl:lncRNA